rnacentral:rRNA from 1 species
GAUGAACGCUGGCGGCGUGCUUAACACAUGCAAGUCGAACGGUGAAGGCGGAGCUUGCUCUGCUGGAUCAGUGGCAAACGGGUGAGUAACACGUGAGCAAUCUGCCCCUGACUCUGGGAUAAGCGCUGGAAACGGCGUCUAAUACUGGAUACGAGCUGCGAAGGCAUCUUCAGCAGCUGGAAAGAACUUCGGUCAGGGAUGAGCUCGCGGCCUAUCAGCUUGUUGGUGAGGUAACGGCUCACCAAGGCGUCGACGGGUAGCCGGCCUGAGAGGGUGACCGGCCACACUGGGACUGAGACACGGCCCAGACUCCUACGGGAGGCAGCAGUGGGGAAUAUUGCACAAUGGGCGAAAGCCUGAUGCAGCAACGCCGCGUGAGGGACGACGGCCUUCGGGUUGUAAACCUCUUUUAGCAGGGAAGAAGCGAAAGUGACGGUACCUGCAGAAAAAGCGCCGGCUAACUACGUG